rnacentral:rRNA from 1 species
CACGUAAACAACCUGCCUUCAGGAUGGGGACGAACAGACGGAAACGACUGCUAAUACCGAAUAAGUUCCAAGAGCCGCAUGGCCCAUGGAAGAAAAGGUGGCCUCUACCUGUAAGCUAUCGCCUGAAGAGGGGUUUGCGUCUGAUUAGCUGGUUGGAGGGGGUAACGGCCCACCAAGGCGACGAUCAGUAGCCGGUCUGAGAGGAUGAACGGCCACACUGGAACUGAGACACGGUCCAGACUCCUACGGGAGGCAGCAUG